UGGUAGUNCACGCCGUAAACGAUGAGUGCUAGGUGUUAGGCCCUUUCCGGGGCUUAGUGCCGGAGCUAACGCAAUAAGCACUCCGCCUGGGGAGUACGACCGCAAGGUUGAAACUCAAAGGAAUUGACCGGGGCCCGCACAAGCGGUGGAGCAUGUGGUUUAAUUCGAAGCAACGCGAAGAACCUUACCAGGUCUUGACAUCCCGAUGCUAUUCUUAGAGAUAGGAAGUUACUUCGGUAUAUCGGAGACAGGUGGUGCAUGGUUGUCGUCAGCUCGUGUCGUGAGAUGUUGGGUUAAGUCCCGCAACGAGCGCAACCCUUAUUGUUAGUUGCCAUCAUUAAGUUGGGCACUCUAGCGAGACUGCCGGUAAUAAACCGGAGGAAGGUGGGGAUGACGUCAAAUCAUCAUGCCCCUUAUGACCUGGGCUACACACGUGCUACAAUGGUCGGUACGACGAGUUGCGAGCCGGUGACGGCAAGCUAAUCUCUGAAAGCCGAUCUCAGUUCGGAUUGGAGGCUGCAACUCGCCUCCAUGAAGUCGGAAUCGCUAGUAAUCGCGGAUCAGCACGCCGCGGUGAAUACGUUCCCGGGCCUUGUACACACCGCCCGUCACACCACGAGAGUUUGUAACACCCGAAGUCGGUGAGGUANCCUUUUAG
rnacentral:rRNA from 1 species